AGAAUCGAUAGGGUUUGUGUUUCGGCCACAGAUGAGGCCUUGGGCCCGAUUCUU
rnacentral:tRNA from 1 species